rnacentral:rRNA from 1 species
CAAGAGCGUAUGUAAAAGUUGUUGCAGUUAAAAAGCUCGUAGUUGAACCUUGGGUUUGGUUGGCCGGUCCGCUUUUUUGCGAGUACUGGAUUCAACCGAGCCUUUCCUUCUGGCUAACCAGUCGUUUCGGCGGCUGGCGAACCAGGAUUUUUACUUUGAGAAAAUUAGAGUGUUCAAAGCAGGCAUUAGCUUGAAUAUAUUAGCAUGGAAUAAUAGAAUAGGACGUUAUGGUUCUAUUUUGUUGGUUUCUAGGACCAUCGUAAUGAUUAAUAGGGACGGUCGGGGGCAUCAGUAUUCAGUUGUCAGAGGUGAAAUUCUUGGAUUUACUGAGGACUAACUACUGCGAAAGCAUUUGCCAAGGACGUUUUCAUUAA